rnacentral:lncRNA from 1 species
AGAGGGUGGAGGCAGGAACAUGGUGAGAGGCCAAGUCAGGGUCCUACUUGCUGAUGUGACAACGGGGGGCACAAGUGGAGCCCUCAUGGAUUCACUUGGGCAAUCAGCAACAUAAAAGAUGGGCGGGAAGCAUAGCCACGAUCAACUCACACUGCAGGGAGUCAUGAAUAUCACCUCCGUCUUUGACAUAUGAGGGGAGAAAUGCUCAGACCACAAAAGUGUCCUCCAACCCAGGGUCCAGGAUGGAAGAAUAAAACACUGGGCAAUUGGCAUCAGCCAUCAGAAGGAAAACCCAGCAUUUCUGGUGCCCCAGAAAUCACACCAGGGACCGGCCUCUUCUUUCAUCCAAACGUAUGUGAGUGUCUACUACAGUCCUUGUUGGAAAGUUUCAGUAAAUUUUUUUUUUAAUUUUAUUUUUCUUUUAAAGAUUGGCACCUGAGCUAACAACUGUUGCCAAUCUUCUUUUCUUUUUCUUUUCUGCUUUUUCUCCCCAAAUCCCCCCAAUACAUAGUUGUAUAUUUUAGUUGCUGGCCCUUCUAGUUGUGGCACUUGGGAUGCUGCCUCAGCAUGGCCUGAUGAGCGGUGUCAUGUCCACGCCCAGGAUCCGAAUCAGCGAAGCCCUGGGCCACCGCAGCGGAGCACGUGAACUUAACCACUCGGCCACGGGGC